UGGUCAUUAUCUUACUCAGAUUAAAAUCUGGAGCCACGCGUUGCAGCUAAAUAAAAAGAAGCAACAAAGGUUUUAGGGUGGGGGCAUUAUGACGGUGAUAACGGCGUAACUAAAAAGCUUGUUUGGCCGGGCCCCCUUUCCUCGGAUGGAGCCCGGCACCGCCGCGCUCGCCGUCUCCGCGCCGCUGCUCCGCCGCCUCCACCACCCGGAGGCGGUCGUGGGGUUUCAAUGGUAGCCGAUCGCGACGACACCGGAAGGGCACCGGCACCUUCUCUCUUCCCCUGAAAAGACGAAAAGAGGGACGGGAAUUUAGGAACCCUGAACCAUUGCCUUCGGAACCGGUCCAAUCCUUUUAUUCUGAUCCGGGCGCGGAUCCUCUUGAUUUGAUUAGCAAUUGCGCUGCAUCUCCUUUUUAGGAUGUUCGACUUCGAGAAUCUCAUCAAUUUCUUCACACAUUUGCAACCUGGGUCUGAUACACGUAGACAGUAUGAAGAAUGAGAGAAAAAGAGAAGUUUCUGUGAGCAUGAAGAAGCAAAUUUCAUUCACACGUCUUUUUGAGCCAGGUGCAAUCAGGAAGACCAUUUCGAAGCAAAACUUCUGGAGACAAUGGUGGCGUAGAUAUGGACAAGUAUAUAAUUUCGGGAUCAGAUGCUGAAGCCUGUGCAGAGCUAUUGUUAUUUUCAUGGCCAGAAUGUGAGGAUCUCCAUAAGUGCUGGUGAUGCCCUUCUGAAGCAUGCCAUCCUCUUUACGGCCUCUGAUAGUCCAUGGAGAAUUCUAUAUAAAGAUAUGCUGAACGGAACAUCAUUGUUGCUUGUGUGAAGGGCUGUUUGAAUUUUAAAUUGGCAAAAGGACUGAGGUGAGUGGGACAUCCCUUCAUAGUUCCUAAUGAUAUUCACUCUCUGAAGCAAACCUCUCCUUCUAUCACAUUCAUUGCUUUGUUUCAAAAACACUCCACAAUGAUAUCUUCAUCUUCGAUCAUGUCAUGAAGACUCAUGGUGGUGUAAUACUUGCUGUAGUGCUCUGAAUCUUCUCUUGGAAAAAAGCCUCCUAAAUAAGCCAAUCAAGAACAAACACUUAUCACAGGUGGGCCCAAAGCUGAGUCCACCUGAAGUGAUUCCAGCCAUCAACAUCCUCUGAUCAUGAUAGGACAUCUUUGGUGUCUAGACCUGACAACAAGGAUUCAAAUACUGUGGGAUGGGGCCCUCUGGUUUUUCCAUGGAACAACACUCUGAGCUUAUGGAUGACCUGCCCUCAUCCCCUUCCUAUCCUUACACUUGGAAUGCUCGAGUCAAAUUCUUAAGCUAAAGAUAUUUAGCUGUACACUGAGCAUGACAAGAUGCUUGCUGCUGCCUCAGCAUGCCCAGGAUUGAUUCUUACAAUCUUCUAAGUUUAGGACGCUUUAGUUAAAGAGCUCCUGACGGAACCUUUAGCAACUUGAAUUCAAGCUCAUUACUGCCUCUGUUACUGCGACCAUGAUGAAUUGUGCAAUUAUCUUUUGAUUCUGGCGUCAAAGUUAUUGAUUUAUCAAAUCAUUUGAAA